rnacentral:tRNA from 1 species
GUGGCUAUGGUGUAGUGGUAACACAGCAGAUUGUGGUUCUGUUAUCGAGGGUUCAAUUCCCUCUAGUCACC